rnacentral:rRNA from 1 species
UAGGGAAUCUUCGGCAAUGGGGGCAACCCUGACCGAGCAACGCCGCGUGAGUGAAGAAGGUUUUCGGAUCGUAAAGCUCUGUUGUAAGUCAAGAACGAGUGUGAGAGUGGAAAGUUCACACUGUGACGGUAGCUUACCAGAAAGGGACGGCUAACUACGUGCCAGCAGCCGCGGUAAUACGUAGGUCCCGAGCGUUGUCCGGAUUUAUUGGGCGUAAAGCGAGCGCAGGCGGUUUGAUAAGUCUGAAGUUAAAGGCUGUGGCUCAACCAUAGUUCGCUUUGGAAACUGUCAAACUUGAGUGCAGAAGGGGAGAGUGGAAUUCCAUGUGUAGCGGUGAAAUGCGUAGAUAUAUGGAGGAACACCGGUGGCGAAAGCGGCUCUCUGGUCUGUAACUGACGCUGAGGCUCGAAAGCGUGGGGAGCGAACAGGAUUAGAUACCCUGGUAGUCCACGCCGUAAACGAUGAGUGCUAGGUGUUGGAUCCUUUCCGGGAUUUAGUGCCGCAGCUAACGCAUUAAGCACUCCGCCUGGGGAGUACGACCGCAAGGUUG